rnacentral:rRNA from 1 species
GGGGAAUAUUGCACAAUGGGCGAAAGCCUGAUGCAGCGACGCCGCGUGAGGGAUGACGGCCUUCGGGUUGUAAACCUCUUUCAGCAGGGAAGAAGCGAAAGUGACGGUACCUGCAGAAGAAGCACCGGCUAACUACGUGCCAGCAGCCGCGGUAAUACGUAGGGUGCGAGCGUUGUCCGGAAUUAUUGGGCGUAAAGAGCUUGUAGGCGGUUUGUCGCGUCUGCAGUGAAAAUCCGGGGCUCAACCCCGGACUUGCUGUGGGUACGGGCAGACUAGAGUGUGGUAGGGGAGACCGGAAUUCCUGGUGUAGCGGUGGAAUGCGCAGAUAUCAGGAGGAACACCGAUGGCGAAGGCAGGUCUCUGGGCCACAACUGACGCUGAGAAGCGAAAGCAUGGGGAGCGAAC